rnacentral:rRNA from 1 species
UACGUAGGGGGCGAGCGUUGUCCGAAGUUACUGGGCGUAAAGCGCGCGUAGGCGGUCUCUUAAGUCCGGGGUGAAAGGUUCAGCGCUCAACGCGAACAGUGCCCUGGAGACUGGGGGACUUGAGUGCGGGAGGGGGCAGUGGAAUUCCGGGUGUAGCGGUGAAAUGCGUAGAUAUCCGGAGGAACACCGAUGGCGAAGGCAGCUGCCUGGCCUGACACUGACGCUGAGGUGCGAAAGCGUGGGGAGCAAACAGG